AAAAGCUUAUGAUACGUCAUUACGAACAUAAACAAAGUGUAUUAGACUUAUAAUGAUGAUCCAUAGAUUGGGUUUAGUUAACUUUUCCAUGGAUCUAGCAGAGAUAAAAUGGCAUGGGAAAUUAAGAUUACAAAGAGAAGGAAGAUAAAUAAUUUUUGCAAACAUAUAUAUGAAUGAGGGAUAAGUAUUGAAAGGCCCCUUUUCAAACUAUGGACCAUACAAUUUAGAAGAGGUGGGAUUUAUCAAACGUAUUAGUGCAACCAUUAAAUUUAUA
rnacentral:lncRNA from 1 species